UCUAAGUACCCCGAGGAAAAGAAAUCAACCGAGAUUCCCCCAGUAGCGGCGAGCGAACGGGGAGCAGCCCAGAGCCUGAAUCAGUAUGUGUGUUAGUGGAAGCGUCUGGAAAGGCGCGCGAUACAGGGUGACAGCCCCGUACACAAAAAUGCACAUGCUGUGAGCUCGAUGAGUAGGGCGGGACACGUGGUAUCCUGUCUGAAUAUGGGGGGACCAUCCUCCAAGGCUAAAUACUCCUGACUGACCGAUAGUGAACCAGUACCGUGAGGGAAAGGCGAAAAGAACCCCGGCGAGGGGAGUGAAAAAGAACCUGAAACCGUGUACGUACAAGCAGUGGGAGCACGCUUAGGCGUGUGACUGCGUACCUUUUGUAUAAUGGGUCAGCGACUUAUAUUCUGUAGCAAGGUUAACCGAAUAGGGGAGCCGAAGGGAAACCGAGUCUUAACUGGGCGUUAAGUUGCAGGGUAUAGACCCGAAACCCGGUGAUCUAGCCAUGGGCAGGUUGAAGGUUGGGUAACACUAACUGGAGGACCGAACCGACUAAUGUUGAAAAAUUAGCGGAUGACUUGUGGCUGGGGGUGAAAGGCCAAUCAAACCGGGAGAUAGCUGGUUCUCCCCGAAAGCUAUUUAGGUAGCGCCUCGUGAAUUCAUCUCCGGGGGUAGAGCACUGUUUCGGCAAGGGGGUCAUCCCGACUUACCAACCCGAUGCAAACUGCGAAUACCGGAGAAUGUUAUCACGGGAGACACACGGCGGGUGCUAACGUCCGUCGUGAAGAGGGAAACAACCCAGACCGCCAGCUAAGGUCCCAAAGUCAUGGUUAAGUGGGAAACGAUGUGGGAAGGCCCAGACAGCCAGGAUGUUGGCUUAGAAGCAGCCAUCAUUUAAAGAAAGCGUAAUAGCUCACUGGUCGAGUCGGCCUGCGCGGAAGAUGUAACGGGGCUAAACCAUGCACCGAAGCUGCGGCAGCGACGCUGAUGCGUUGUUGGGUAGGGGAGCGUUCUGUAAGCCUGCGAAGGUGUGCUGUGAGGCAUGCUGGAGGUAUCAGAAGUGCGAAUGCUGACAUAAGUAACGAUAAAGCGGGUGAAAAGCCCGCUCGCCGGAAGACCAAGGGUUCCUGUCCAACGUUAAUCGGGGCAGGGUGAGUCGACCCCUAAGGCGAGGCCGAAAGGCGUAGUCGAUGGGAAACAGGUUAAUAUUCCUGUACUUGGUGUUACUGCGAAGGGGGGACGGAGAAGGCUAUGUUGG
rnacentral:rRNA from 1 species